rnacentral:lncRNA from 1 species
GAGAACCUCUGGUUAACUUAAUCCAAAGCCAAAACUCCCCGUUUAGCCAACAAUUCUGCCAGUUUCUCUCUCCCAAAUUCCAUCUCUCUCCAGCAUCCUCCGUUGUAGAAUGAUCUAGCAGAUCUUAAAUCAUUUUUCCGCUAAUUUUUUUUUUGUCUCUGAAAUUUCCAAGCACAAUAACAUCAACAGCAAUUACAAUAGCCAAACCUAAUUAAACCCAGCACUAAAUAGUAAAAUCCACCAUUUAUUUAGCCGAGGUUGCUUCUCAUGGAUGAACACACUACAAAAUCAAAACAAAGGAGGAGGUUUUAUUGCAAGACAAGAAUAUAAAAAUAAUAUGAUGAAUGUACUGUAGGAGCUAGAGAAGUAGAUUCUAGAUAAUAACAAGAGAAAGACGAUGCAAUUUCAACGAAGGACGCCGGAGGAGAUGACGAUGGAAGUUAGAAAAGAGAAAGCAGCAGGGUUGUUUGCUUAAUCAAAACGGGGAGUUUUGAUGGUUGGGUUAAGUUAACCAAGGUUAUAUUAUGGGUCCUACAUCUAUAUUAUUUUAUUUUAAACUCUAAUUCUAAUUUUAAAAUAUGGUACUAAUAUAUUUAAGUUUGUAAAUCAGGUGACACAGAAGCAAAAUUAUUAGAAAAAAAGAAUUCCACGAG